rnacentral:rRNA from 1 species
AGUGAACGCUGGCGGUAGGCCUAACACAUGCAAGUCGAACGGCAGCACAGGAGAGCUUGCUCUCUGGGUGGCGAGUGGCGGACGGGUGAGGAAUGCAUCGGAAUCUACUCUGUCGUGGGGGAUAACGUAGGGAAACUUACGCUAAUACCGCAUACGACCUACGGGUGAAAGCAGGGGAUCUUCGGACCUUGCGCGAUUGAAUGAGCCGAUGUCGGAUUAGCUAGUUGGCGGGGUAAAGGCCCACCAAGGCGACGAUCCGUAGCUGGUCUGAGAGGAUGAUCAGCCACACUGGAACUGAGACACGGUCCAGACUCCUACGGGAGGCAGCAGUGGGGAAUAUUGGACAAUGGGCGCAAGCCUGAUCCAGCCUUACCGCGCGGGUGAAGAAGGCCUUCGGGUUGUAAAGCCCUUUUGUUGGGAAAGAAAUCCAGCUGGCUAAUACCCGGUUGGGAUGACGGUACCCAAAGAAUAAGCACCGGCUAACUUCGUGCCAGCCGCCGCCGUAA